rnacentral:lncRNA from 1 species
AUCCUUGCAUCAUUCAUCUUGUUUGCAUUUGUUUUUCCAUUUAUAAAUCAAAAAAAAAAAAAACUGUUUUUGCAUUUUUGUGUUCUUUGUUCAUCAUAAAUUGAAAAGCCAUAAAGAGUUGAGAUAGGAGACGACCUGUUGUCUAGUUUGAUUCAUUUCAUCCAUAAAAAGAAAAGAAAAACGUGUUUGCAUUCAUUCCCCAGCUCCACUUUCCAUUUUUUUAGAUUUUGUGCAUUCAUUUCAAAAAAGAAAAAGAUCUGCAUUUUCAUAGUUGUUUCUUGCUUAAAAAAAAUAAAUAAAAAGUCAUACCAUUUUUAAUUUCGUGCAUACCAUAUUUGUUUCAUAAGUUUGUUAUUUGCAUUCAAAAAAAAAAAUCAUUCAGCUUAGUUUAUAUCAUUUUGGGUUCAAGUAUACAUUUUAGUUUCCAUUUCCGGUGUUUUUGCAUUUCAUCUUAAGAAAAUUCAAAAAAAAUCAGUGUGAGUUUAAUUUCCAUAUUUUCUUCCCAUUUUUGUUUCUUUUCAUACCAUAUUGUUUAAUUUCGAAAUU